AUGCUGGGGGAUAGAUGUUUACAUCACUUUCAGUGCUAUAGCUGACUCAUGCACUGUUUCGCAUGGUAAAUAAUAUAUAGGGACUAACUGAAACUGCUAAGGGUGAAACAGCUUUUCCUCAACAGGGAAGACUACCCAGCCACCAAAGUGUCUAAUGGAAACCCAUUACUCCAGUGGUCAGAGAGGCUUUCAGAGACAGGCUUUGAAACUCAGAGAUGCUGAAGUGACUGUGGUCAACCUUUGGUUUGGAGAUAAACAACCUCACAGUCAUGUUGGCCCAGUUUCUGUGGAGGUCAGGCCCAGGCCUGCAGCUCUCAGGCUCCGGAGCCUCCUGAAAGUCUCACUCAGGUGCCAAGAAAGCAAAGAAAGAACAUGCCAAGAUUUUUUUUUUCUUGUACUGUUUAAUUUUUUCCCUUCCUCUCAUUCCUUAAACAGAUUUAAUGGGUGCUGUGUGUCUCAGGUGACUGUAGAAUAUGGUUGAUUUUGAACAAGCACUCUGCUGAAUUGUGACCUACAGUAAUUGUGGUGGGGAGUUGUUUUCUUGGUUUCAAGGUCCUUUAAUUUAAUUUAUUAUCAUAACUGUGAUGCUCAAUUUUUUAAAUGAGAUGGCUCUAGAGUUAGUCAUGGCACAUGUGUAAAUAAAAAUAAU